rnacentral:rRNA from 1 species
CUGCAUGGCUGUCGUCAGCUCGUGUCGUGAGAUGUUGGGUUAAGUCCCGCAACGAGCGCAACCCUUGUCCCUAGUUGCUACGCAAGAGCACUCUAGGGAGACUGCCGGUGACAAACCGGAGGAAGGUGGGGAUGACGUCAAGUCCUCAUGGCCCUUACGGGUAGGGCUUCACACGUCAUACAAUGGUCGGAACAGAGGGUCGCCAACCCGCGAGGGGGAGCCAAUCCCAGAAAACCGAUCGUAGUCCGGAUCGCACUCUGCAACUCGAGUGCGUGAAGCUGGAAUCGCUAGUAAUCGCGGAUCAGCAUGCCGCGGUGAAUACGUU